GACGAACGCUGGCGGCGUGCCUAACACAUGCAAGUCGAGCGAAUGAAAUUCCUUCGGGAACGGAUUUAGCGGCGGACGGGUGAGUAACACGUGGGCAACCUGCCUCAUAGAGGGGAAUAGCCUUCCGAAAGGGAGAUUAAUACCGCAUAAGAUUGUAGUACCGCAUGGUACAGCAAUUAAAGGAGCAAUCCGCUAUGAGAUGGGCCCGCGGCGCAUUAGCUAGUUGGUGAGGUAACGGCUCACCAAGGCGACGAUGCGUAGCCGACCUGAGAGGGUGAUCGGCCACAUUGGGACUGAGACACGGCCCAGACUCCUACGGGAGGCAGCAGUGGGGAAUAUUGCACAAUGGGGGAAACCCUGAUGCAGCAACGCCGCGUGAGUGAUGACGGCCUUCGGGUUGUAAAGCUCUGUCUUCAGGGACGAUAAUGACGGUACCUGAGGAGGAAGCCACGGCUAACUACAUGCCAGCCGCCGCAGUAAUAC
rnacentral:rRNA from 1 species